UACGUAGGGAGCAAGCGUUUGUCCGGAAUCAUUGGGCGUAAAGCGCGCGUAGGUGGCCUCAUAAGUCCGCUGUGAAAGUCAAAGGCUCAACCUUUGAAAGCCGGUGGAUACUGUGAGGCUAGAGUACGGAAGAGGCGAGUGGAAUUCCUGGUGUAGCGGUGGAAUGCGCAGAUAUCAGGAGGAACACCAACGGCGAAGGCAGCCCGCUGGGACGGUACUGACGCUAAGGCGCGAAAGCGUGGGGAGCGAACAGG
rnacentral:rRNA from 1 species